GCUUGCUGAUGCUCUGAAUUGUCAGCUGCUGGGUUGACAAGCCUUGCAGAGAGAUGAUGGUCAAAGCCAGGAAGAGAUGCAGCUGGACCAGGGAUGUGCACUCAGACACACAGACACAUAGAAAAGCAGAAAUGCUAACAAUUGUGGUCUGCUCUAGCAUCCUCUGGGGUUCACUGGUAGUGUUUUCCUUUUUCUCACAGUUGCAUCACUUCCUUAGCCUUAGAUAUGAGUCCACAAUACGACAUAUGAGCAAAACAUCACCAGCCAAACAGGGCCAAGACAGCUCAGCUAAGCCAGCAGUGGCUCUGGAGCACUCUCCAGUCACUCUCAGUUAAGAGGCCUUGAGUGAAGGGGAGAGGUCAGAGUUACCAUAUCUUGCCUACAGCUGGGCUGUCUGCAUUGACGUACCUGGUGCUCUUUGGCCCAAACCAGAGCACACGUUGAAGCUGAAGCUGGUUGCAUUCGUGUUUGCAAGACAGGCUGAAAAGCCACACAUGGGGAAUCAUUACUGAAGACACACUGCCAAACUGAAGUAAUAUAUGAGGCUAGUUCUCCAGCUAGCCAUCCUAAGUUUGAUACAACUCAAGUGUUUCAUUAAUGAUACAGAUAAGCAGAUUAAACAGACUACAAUUCCUAAAUUUGCAGAUGACACCAGAUUGGAAUGGGCUGCAAGCAUGCUGAAGGAAAGAUCAUAAUUCAGAAGGGUUCUGGCAAAUUGGAAAACGGCCAGAAAAAGCUUGGUGCAUAGCAGAUACAAUGAAAGAAAAAAAUCUCUGCUUUGGUAGGAAUAACAAACUGCAAAUGCAGGAUUCACAGUCAGGGAAUGACCAAGAGGGAUGUGGACCAACUGGACAACGUAGAAGAUGAAAACAAAGAAACGAAAUGUGAAAAAUGCAACCUAAAAGGAACAUGUAGGUCUGCUUAAUCUAAAGAGGACAAGACUGAAGGAGGUGACUUCCUUCACGAUGGCUGACCUCCAAUACGUGAGGUAUUAGCGUAAACAAGAAAGAAACUCUUCUGCAUGGCCACUCUGUGUAGAACAAAUAGUAACCAGCUACUUAUAACAAUACUAAUGAGAAAACACCAGCAAAAACUUAAUGCUAAGGAGGCUAAGCAGGCACUGGAACAGAUUGCCUAGAUGGACUGUGGAAUCUCCUUCACUGGAAUUGUCAAUAAAUAAAUAAUUAAAUAAAAGAGGCA
rnacentral:lncRNA from 1 species